rnacentral:rRNA from 1 species
UACCAGCUCUCCGAGUGGUGUGGAUGUUUAUUGGGCCUAAAGCAUCCGUAGCUGGCUGGACAAGUCCCCUGUUAAAUCCACCGAUUUAAUCGUUGGUGUGCGGGGGAUACUGUUCGGCUAGGGGACGGGAGAGGCCGACGGUAUUUCCGGGGUAGGGGUGAAAUCCUAUAAUCCCGGGAAGACCACCAGUGGCGAAGGCUGUCGGCUAGAACGCGCCCGACGGUGAGGGAUGAAAGCUGGGGGGAGCGAACCGGAUUAGAUACCCGGGUAGUCCCAGCUGUAAACGAUGCAGGCUAGGUGUUUGGGCGGCCACGUGCCGCUCUAGUGCCGCAAGGAAGCUGUUAAGCCUGCCGCCUGGGGAGUACGGCCGCAAGGCUGAAACUUAAAGGAAUUGGCGGGGGAGCACCACAAGGGGUGAAGCUUGCGGUUU